CGCCAAAUCCGUUCUAAGCAAGAGUCAAAAGGUGCUCUGGUUAAAUUUAGAAGCAAUUUGAAGGAAAGAAGAAAAACCUUUGCCAGGUUCAAAAAAAAGAGUAAUUACUCAAAUGGAGAAUAUAAGAUGAACAGUGAGCAAGUAAGGCAACUGUGGGCUUAUAGGAUAACUUAUGGGCCCACAGGAUAACCCAUGGGCUAUAGGAUAUUAUACCCCUGCUCUCCCUCCCCUGGAAGGCAACGAAUCUUGUAAUGCAUACUGUGUGCCAGGCAGUACAAACAUCAUCUCACAUUCAGAGCGGCAGCCAUGUGCAUUUUAGAUGACAAUGUCACUUGCCACAGAGAUGCUGGAAGUGGUACCAUGCACCUGUAAUUCCAGAACUCAGGAAGACAAUACAAGAGGAUAGGAAGUCCUGGCCAGCCUGGGCUACGGGACGAGACCCUGUUUCACUGAGCUAGCAAACAAACCGAACAAUAAUUGGUCUUUUUUUGUCUUUAGUUUUAUAGAAAUUACAUUUAUUUAUUUAUUUAUUUAUUUAUUUAUUUAUUUAUUUAUAUUUAGUGUGUGUGUGUAUGUGUGUGAGAGAGAGAGAGAGGUGGGGUGGGGAGCAGAGAGGACUAGAGAUGAGGAUGGGAAAGUGCGCUGGGCCAGUGGUUGUUGGGGAACAGCAGAGGUCAGAGCAAAGGUCAAGGUUGGUCGUUUUUAGAAAAUCUUCACCUUCCUGUCCUGCACAGCGUCUUUCUGGUAGCUAGUUUUUACUUUGAAAACACAUGCAUGUGUGCACUCUCUCCCUGCUAUGUGCAUGUGCUUGUGAGUGUGUGUGUGAGAGAGACAGAGAAAGACAGUCACACAGAGAGAGAAAGAGAGAGGGUGGGAAGGAGGAGGGAGAGAGGGAGAGGGGAGGGGGAGGAGAAUCUGUUUCCUAUUUCAGUAACUCUGGCUUUAUCUCU
rnacentral:lncRNA from 1 species